AUACGGAGGGUGCAAGCGUUAUUCGGAAUUACUGGGCGUAAAGCGCACGUAGGCGGUUUUCCAAGUUGGAGGUGAAAUCCCUGGGCUCAACCCGGGAACUGCCUCCAAAACUGGAUCACUCGAGUCCGAGAGAGGUGAGUGGAAUUUCCAGUGUAGAGGUGAAAUUCGUAGAUAUUAGGAAGAACACCAGUGGCGAAGGCGGCUUUCUGGCUCGUAACUGACGCUGAGGCGCGAAAGCGUGGGGAGC
rnacentral:rRNA from 1 species